rnacentral:lncRNA from 1 species
GACAGCUUCCCUUUCUGUUUGGUUUCAGGGAUUGUCUUUCGGAGACUCCAAAAAAACCAAAGCCAAGCAGAAUUGCCAUGAGGGAUGAGGUGUGGAGCUGAUUAUCCACGUGGAGCCCGAGAGCAGGCCUGACAUGGAGGGAGCCUCUCCCAGCGUCCGACGAUCUCGUCCUUCCCAAGUGGGCAUAGUUCAGGCUGCUGGAGGUGCAGAGAAAGAGGCAAGGCGCCGUCCCCCAGUGAGCGACCCUGUCUUAACCUCAGCAUCAUGAGGCUGGAGUGGCCAGGUGGCUGGGAGCUGCAUUUCUCAAUCCAGCCACCUGGCCACCUCCCACUGCCACCACACAUCACAUGUGCCUGCAACAGAACCAUGGCAGCCCACCCAUGAGGACCCACCCAGUGCAGGGAGGCGAGUGCAGUGAGUACCUGUACCCACUUCGCCUCUGAAGCAGGUGCUGCAGGUGUCCACCCAGGCUCCUCCUCGCUCCCUUCUCCACACUCAAGGUCGCCAGUGACCGCUGCCUGCUGGGUUUCCCUGGGUCCCCUGGCAGAGUAACCUGGAAGUGGCAGAAAGAAAAUGACUUAGACGUAUCCCUUAGCUGGUGGACAGGCACCAGUUCCUGCUACACAGCUGGAAACCCAGGCAUGUGUGUGCUGUUACAAAACAAACUUUCAACACAUUUAGUUAAGAUCUGAUAUGGUUUGAAAGUUUCUUCUCUCUAAAUCUCCUGUUGAAAUGUGAUCCCCAGUGGUGGAGGUGAGGCCCUGUGGGAGGUGUUUGGUCACAGGGGUGGGACCCUAGUGAAUGGCUUGACGUCAUCCCCUUGGCGAUGAGUGAGCUGUCGCUGAGUUAGUUCACACGAGAAAGCUGGUUGUUUAAGAGAGCCUAGGGCCUCUCCCUUCUCUCUCUUCCUCCUGCUCUUGCCGUUGACGCACCUGCUCCCCCUUUGCCUUCCACCAUGAGUGGAAGCUUCCUGAGCCCUCACCAGAAGCAGAUGAUGGUAUUGUGCUUCCUCUACAGCCUGAGCUGAUUAAACCUCUUUUCUUUAUAAACGACCCAGCCUCAGGUGUUUCUUCAUAGCAAUGGAAGAGCCGACUCGCGCAAGAUCUAAUUGGCUAUCCCUGGUGACUCACGAAUCAGGCAGCAUCGCAUUUGGAGAGUUAGGAAGGGUGUUCCCAUAAGCUGAGUGGAAGAGGUGGGCUUUACAGGCAGAAAAGGCUGAAGAAACAGAAAUAAGAGGACAGCAAGUGAUUGGGCAUUGUGGGGUCACUUUCCUUGUCAGACUAACACGGAGGGACUUCCUGAGUCUCCUGACUCAGGUAGACUGAUUGGCUGCGGUGAAUCUCUUCAUUUUGGGAAAAGGGGCCCUUUCUAAGUUCAGUUUGAUGAUGUGACAUGAAGCAUGAGUGACUCCAUUCUGGUUUGGUCUGGGUGUUGGGUUUGGGGCAGGAGCUUCUCUGAACCAGUGGCCACGGUCGUUUUUAUUUGACCAUUGCUCUACGCUGUCUCCUGAGGUUUCUUGUGGCUGAGCCAGGUCACAGUGAGCUGCACCGAUCACCCAUCCUGCUACUUCCCUCCUCAUCUCUUCCUCACGCCCCUGCUGCUGUUUCCUGGGACCAUCCAGUAAACGAACCUUGUCUCAGCAUCUGCUUCUUGGGGGAACGCAGUUGAAGACUGUCUCAGAUGUGCACAGUCUCCCUGAGAGUGUCUCCCCCAGAUGAACAUUGGAUUCAUCCGUCAAGAUCCAUAAAUAAUGGAUGAGAAUUGUCUGGAGCUCAUAGAUUAGUUCUGGGAGAAUUGAUAUUUUCUCAGACAUCCAGGUAUUCUAGGUAUUUCAAAUUCUCCCUUUAUUCAAUUUAAAAAAUUGCUUUGCAGUAAAGUCUCACGUUUUUCAUCAUCUAGCCCUUUUUAUAUUUUGGGGUUUAUUCUUAGUUGUUUUAAGGCUUUGUCUAUUGUGAGCAGUAUUUCUGAG